GACGAACGCUGGCGGCGUGCUUAACACAUGCAAGUCGAACGGUGAAGCUCCAGCUUGCUGGAGUGGAUCAGUGGCGAACGGGUGAGUAACACGUGAGCAACCUGCCCCUGACUCUGGAAUAAGCGCUGGAAACGGCGUCUAAUACUGGAUACGAGAAGGGUCCGCAUGGGCACUUUCUGGAAAGUUUUUCGGUUGGGGAUGGGCUCGCGGCCUAUCAGCUUGUUGGUGAGGUAAUGGCUCACCAAGGCGACGACGGGUAGCCGGCCUGAGAGGGCGACCGGCCACACUGGGACUGAGACACGGCACAGACUCCUACGGGAGGCAGCAGUGGGGAAUAUUGCACAAUGGGCGAAAGCCUGAUGCAGCGACGCCGCGUGAGGGAUGACGGCCUUCGGGUUGUAAACCUCUUUCAGCAGGGAAGAAGCGAAAGUGACGGUACCUGCAGAAGAAGCACCGGCUAACUACGUG
rnacentral:rRNA from 1 species